rnacentral:rRNA from 1 species
AACGAACGCUGGCGGCAUGCCUAACACAUGCAAGUCGAACGAUCCCUUCGGGGAUAGUGGCGCACGGGUGCGUAACGCGUGGGAACCUGCCCUUAGGUUCGGAAUAACUCAGAGAAAUUUGAGCUAAUACCGGAUAAUGUCUUCGGACCAAAGAUUUAUCGACUUUGGAUGGGCCCGCGUUGGAUUAGCUAGUUGGUGGGGUAAAGGCCUACCAAGGCGACGAUCCAUAGCUGGUCUGAGAGGAUGAUCAGCCACACUGGGACUGAGACACGGCCCAGACUCCUACGGGAAGCAGCAGUGGGGAAUAUUGGACAAUGGGCGAAAGCCUGAUCCAGCACUGCCGCGUGAGUGAUGAAGGCCUUAGGGUUGUAAAGCUCUUUUACCCGGGAUGAUAAUGACAGUACCGGGAGAAUAAGCCCCGGCUAACUCCGUG